rnacentral:rRNA from 1 species
UGCGCAGGCGGCCUGAUAAGUCAGAGGUGAAAUAUGUCGGCUCAACCGGCAAACGGCCCCUGAAACUGCCAGGCUUGAGUCCGGGAGAGGUAGGUGGAAUUCCAGGUGUAGCGGUGAAAUGCGUAAAUAUCUGGAGGAACACCGGUGGCGAAGGCGGCCUACUGGCCCGGAACUGACGCUCAGGCACGAAAGCAUGGGGAGCGAACAGGAUUAGAUACCCUGGUAGUCC